AUACGGAGGGUGCAAGCGUUAUCCGGAUUCAUUGGGUUUAAAGGGUGCGCAGGCGGACUUGUAAGUCAGUGGUGAAAUCCCGGGGCUCAACCUCGGAACUGCCAUUGAUACUGCAAGUCUUGAGUUUGGUUGAAGUGGGCGGAAUGUAGCAUGUAGCGGUGAAAUGCAUAGAUAUGCUACAGAACACCGAUCGCGAAGGCAGCUCACUAAACCAACACUGACGCUCAGGCACGAAAGCGUGGGGAGCGAACAGGAUUAGAAACCCGGGUAGUCC
rnacentral:rRNA from 1 species